CACGUAGGGGGCAAGCGUUGUCCGGAUUUAUUGGGCGUAAAGAGCUCGUAGGCGGUUCGGUAAGUCGGGUGUGAAACCUCCAGGCUCAACCUGGAGACGCCACCCGAUACUGCUGUGACUAGAGUCCGGUAGGGGAGCGUGGAAUUCCUGGUGUAGCGGUGAAAUGCGCAGAUAUCAGGAGGAACACCAGCGGCGAAGGCGGCGCUCUGGGCCGGAACCGACGCUGAGGAGCGAAAGCGUGGGGAGCAAACAGG
rnacentral:rRNA from 1 species